rnacentral:rRNA from 1 species
UACGUAGGGAGCAAGCGUUGUCCGGAAUUAUUGGGCGUAAAGAGCUCGUAGGCGGUCUGUUACGUCUGCUGUGAAAACCCGGGGCUUAACCCUGGGCUUGCAGUGGAUACGGGCAGACUAGAGGCAGGUAGGGGAGAAUGGAAUUCCCGGUGUAGCGGUGAAAUGCGCAGAUAUCGGGAGGAACACCGGUGGCGAAGGCGGGUCUCUGGACAGUUCCUGACGCUGAGGCACGAAGGUCAGGGGAGCAAACGGG